rnacentral:tRNA from 1 species
AGGGUUGUGGCUCAGUGGAAGAACAUCUGCUUGGCAUGCAGAAGAUUCCAAGUUCAAUCCCUGACAUCUCCU